ensembl:lncRNA
UGAACAUCCCUACUGCACCGACAGAGAUAUAUUGUUGUUUCUCUUCUGACAAAGUCGCUUUGGAUAAAAGCAUCUUCUAAACACCCUAAAUGUAACUGUAAAUGUAAAAUCGGUUUCAGGAUUUAGAUCCUGUAAAGAGCAUUACCUGUUGAAUAAAGUAUUCCUUGUCAGGUUUACCUGUAAAUGCCAGGUUACAGGUAUUUACUGGAGGUAUUUCCAGUAAAUACGUCAUUUUCUAGAUUACGUAAAAGUAAAAGACCCCAGGUUGUGGACCAGUACUCACCGCGUCCUUCUCCCCGGGUCGGGCCAUGGUCUCCCCAGGCGGGUCCAUGUUCUCCCCGGGUCUGUCUAUGUUCUCCCCGGGUCUGUCUAUGUUCUCCCCGGGUCUGUCUAUGUUCUCCCCGGGCGGGUCCAUGUUGCUCAGCUUCCUCUUGUUCCUAUUCUCGCUCUGCUUCAUUUCGCGCCGCAGGACGCGGGCGUUGGACACGUUGAUAGCACAACUUGUUGUUAAACACAACUUGUUGACAGCACGACUUGUUGACUCCUCACCACAGGUUAACUGGUCAGCGGGACCAGUACCAGUGGUUUAAUCUGGAAGGUUCUCCCCGCCAGUCAUCCAUUCCUGGUCCGCGGGCAGCCUGAUCCGGAUGGCGGGCUGAAGGCUGUCAAUCACCCGCUGCUCCUCACGAGCGGCCGCUAGUCCGGGUUCAGAGGAACAGACUUAGGGACAGACCUAGUGCUCAGAGGGACAGACCUAGAGCUCAGAGGGACAGACCUAGUGCUCAGAGGGACAGACCUACAGCUCAGGUCCUCCUCGGGUUCAGGUCCUCCUCCUGAGGGGAAAGACCUAGUGCUCAGGUCCUCCUGGCGGCUCCAAGGUGAGCUUCAUAUGAUCAGGUCUUCAUGUGAUCAGGUCUUCAUGGUGGACCCCCACCGUGUUGGUAUCCAUGGAGUCACUUGCUUAAGAACAGAAGCCGCGGCGUGUUAGCUGGUUAGCGUUAGCGUCCCGUGUUGUUAGCUAGUUACCGUUAGCGGCUAGCCGGCUAGUCUCCUCGCUACCUGCCUCCUCUGAAAGGUGUCACCUCCAAAGUGUACAUUCCGCGACAUGACACACGCGAAACAGACCCGCCGUCACCUGCCUGAUGGACGUGUGCAGAUCAACCGGCCGCCUGGGUCCCCUUCGGCUGGACCUUCAUGUCUGCUGGCGGCUCAGAUGUGACCUGAGUUGAG